GAAACAGCAGAAACGUGUCGGGGCGGGGCGGCGGGCUCGGACCUCCUCGUCCUUGUUGAGCAGGAUGAGCUGGCUGUCGGUCAGGAUGCAGAACUUCCUCUCCCAGGCGGCGCCGUCCGUGUACGGACUCUGACCGCAGGAGAAGCGGUGGGCCGGGGGUCCCUUCACGUCUGAGGAACCAGAACACAGCAGAACGGGUCAGAACAAAAUGAAGGGGAUCCUGAAAGCAGCACGGCCCUCUGCAGACGCAGUUAGUUCAGAACGGAGCGGCCAGAGUCCGUUUCCUGGUUCCUGCUGUCUGCUGUGUGGUCAGAACGUCUCCACUGAACUCCUGGAAGGAAAACCCAACGGUUGACUGGUUCUGGACGGCUGGUUCUGUCCGAACACAGUCUGCUCUGACUUGUUACUUCACUGAAAACACAUCCAGAGCUUCAUGUUGUGGAAUAAAAGCUGGACCUGA